GAUGAACGCUAGCGGCAGGCUUAACACAUGCAAGUCGAGGGGUAUAGUAGCAAUACUAGAGACCGGCGCACGGGUGCGUAACGCGUAUGCAAUCUACCUUUUACAGGGGAAUAGCCCAGAGAAAUUUGGAUUAAUGCCCCAUAGUAUAUAGACUUCGCAUGGAGAUUAUAUUAAAGUCACAACGGUAAAGAUGAGCAUGCGUCCCAUUAGUUAGUUGGUAAGGUAACGGCUUACCAAGACGAUGAUGGGUAGGGGUCCUGAGAGGGAGAUCCCCCACACUGGUACUGAGACACGGACCAGACUCCUAUGGGAGGCAG
rnacentral:rRNA from 1 species